GUUCGCCAGAAAAUUACGAGCAAAAGCUUAAAACCCAAAGGACUUGACGGUAUUCCACAUCAACCUAGAGGAGCCUGUCCAACAAUCGAUGAUCCGCGUUUAACCUCACCCCCCCUUGCAAAUUCAGCCUAUAUACCGCCGUCGCCAGCCUGCCUGAUGACAGAAACACAGCUGGUAAACCGAACUCCCCCUACCAACGUCAGGUCAAGGUGUAGCUUAUGGGGGGGCAUGAGAUGGGCUACAUUUCUCAACCUGAGAAACCACUAAAAGAAACAUGAAACACAAUCUCCCUCAAGGUGGAUUUAGCAGUAAGUCGAGCAAGAUAUGCUGAUCUGAA
rnacentral:rRNA from 1 species